UGGGGAAUAUUGGACAAUGGGCGAAAGCCUGAUCCAGCCAUGCCGCGUGUGUGAAGAAGGUCUUCGGAUUGUAAAGCACUUUAAGUUGGGAGGAAGGGCAGUAAGCGAAUACCUUGCUGUUUUGACGUUACCGACAGAAUAAGCACCGGCUAACUCUGUGCCAGCAGCCGCGGUAAUACAGAGGGUGCAAGCGUUAAUCGGAAUUACUGGGCGUAAAGCGCGCGUAGGUGGUUCGUUAAGUUGAAUGUGAAAGCCCCGGGCUCAACCUGGGAACUGCAUCCAAAACUGGCGAGCUAGAGUAGGGCAGAGAGUGGUGGAAUUUCCUGUGUGGCGGUGAAAUGCGUAGAUAUAGGAAGGAACACCAGUGGCGAAGGCGACCACCUGGGCUCAUACUGACACUGAGGUGCGAAAGCGUGGGGAGCAAACAGG
rnacentral:rRNA from 1 species